rnacentral:tRNA from 1 species
GGAAGGUUGACAGAAUGGUAAUACCACAGUCUUGAAAACCAGCGAUCAGAAAUGGUCCGUAGGUUCGAAUCCUACUACUUCCACCA